GUUUUGGACCGGAAAUUUAUUGGAUCUUCGAAAAGAAGACUUUCUAAGUUUUAGAAUGAAAAAUUAUUUAGAUUCGAAAUAAUUCAAAUCGAUAGUUCUUUCUCAUUUGUAUAUGUAUGAUAUAUCCCACAAGACUUGUAUAUAAUAAGAAAAGAAAUUCGAGUUUGUAAAAGUGUCGGAUGAAUGAAAAAAGAUCAAUGAAUUCUUGAAUAACUAAAAAAAGGGUAAGGUGUCAAACAGACUUUUUUAGGGAGUAGGGUUGGGGAUAAAGGGACUUGAACCCUCACGAUUUUAAAAGUCAACGGAUUUUUAUCUUACUAUAAAUUUCAUUGUUGUCAGUAUUGACAUGUAGAAUGGGACUCUAUCUUUAUUCUCGUCCGAUUAAUAAGUUCCACCAAGGAUCUAUCAGACUAUGAAGUGAAUCGUUUGAUUCAACACAAGGGAUUGAACUCCAUUUGUUAGAACAGCUUCCAUUGAGUCUCUGCACCUAUCCCGUAAGGCAGAGUUUGGUUUUUUGGGGGUGAUAGUGGAAAAGUUGACAGAUAAGUCACCCUUACUGCCACUCUACAGAAUCGGACAUGAGAUUUUCACCUCAUACGGCUCCUCGUUCAAUUCUUUCGAAGUCAUUGGGUCCCUUUCCUCGUUCGCGAAUCUCCUCCGUCCCGAAGAGUAACUAGGAUAAACUCGGUCACGUUUUCAUGUUCCAAUUGAACACUUUCUAUUUUUGAUUAUUCUCAAAGGAUAAGAUUAUUCUUUUUACCAAACAUCUGCGGGUCCAAUCACACGAUCUUAUAAUAAGAACAAGAGAUCUUUCUCGAUCAAUCUUUUUGCCCCUCAUUCUUCGAUAAUCAGAAAGAGACUUUUUCAAGUUUGAAUUUGUUCAUUUGUAAUCUGGGUUCUUCUACUUCAUUUUUAUUUACUUAUUAUUUCUUUAUUUUCCCUCUCUUUUCUUUAUUUGAUUUCUUUUUUGAUUUUAUUCCCUUCCAUCAUUCUUAAGUCCCAUAGGUUUGAUCCUAUAGAAUCUGACCCAUGUUCUCAUUGAGCGAAGGGUACGAAAUAAAUUCAAUCAUAUUUUUUUUUGAUAAAAAAAAAAUCACUAUGUGAAAUCUUCGUUUUUUUUUCUCUUUCUCUAUCGCUUUCCCAUAAGUACAGCACUUGUUGAAUCGAUAGAGAACCUUUUCUUCUGUAUCGAUAUGAAUCCAAUAUGAAUCGAUAUUAUUACAUUCCAAUUCCUUACCAAUAUCCCUCAAGGAAAAUCCCGACCGAUAGUACCAAUUUUGGUAACGUCCAUCCAGUGCCAAAGUCACUGAAUGGGUAAGUCACCAAUCCCUAAAACGGACUAUGUACUUUAUCUGCUGGGUUAUGGGGGCAUUUUACCCGAGGUUUAGAUUGUAUCAAUCUACCCUUGUGUGAUUCCUGUUGAAUCAUAUACUGCGGGGCGCAGGGCGGACGAUUUCAAAGCGGACUCCCCCUCCCCAUUCAUUAGAUAGAGAAGAUCGCCAAGAUUUCGC
rnacentral:lncRNA from 1 species